UACGAAGGUGGCAAGCGUUACUCGGAAUUACUAGGCGUAAAGGGCAGGUAGGUGGUUUGGUAAGUCUGUUGUGAAAGCUCCUGGCUUAACCGGGAGAGGCCAACGGAAACUACCAGACUUGAGUAUAGGAGAGGGUACUGGAAUUCCCGGUGUAGCGGUGAAAUGCGCAGAGAUCGGGAGGAACACCAAUGGCGAAAGCAGGUACCUGGACUAUUACUGACACUCAGCUGCGAAAGCUAGGGGAGCAAACAGG
rnacentral:rRNA from 1 species